ensembl:lncRNA
UUUUCAGCACCUCAGUGCUAGCUUGAGGUCAAAGUGCAUAGUCAUGGCUGUGAAAAGUGUUUAACAGGAUAAAUGAAACACUAAAAAUGAAAAGCAAGUCUUAGGACACAGAUGUACUGGUACAAAGCUGUGACAACGGGUGUUUUUAGAGUGGUCAGGCUUUACGGAAAACCUAGCGAGACCCCUUUGUGCGUAUGUUUGUGUGUUAGCAUGAGGCAGCUAACAUGGAGCUGCUAACCUGGUCGCUGGGUGUGAAUGUUUAAUAGGCAGGUGACUGACUGGGAGAACUGAGAACUGGAAAACCGCCAGACAGCCAGCUCGUACGUCCUCCGUCUCACCUCGUCCCUUCGUUCCUUAGCUAUUCAUGAGCACGGUUCCUUUUCACUCUGAUUCCACAUUCAUUCCAUCUCCAUCUGUGCUCCUUCCAUCCUCUAUCCAUCCUCUCUCUCCUUUUUCUCGAGUCCCGAAUGCCACGAGGUUGCCAUGAUAAGUUUGGAAGGCGCUUUUCACAAGGCGGACGGGCGAUGAAUCGGGAAUGGUCUACCACGGCUCGGUAUUCUAGUUAGAAAAACAUUGUCAUUUUAAAUCACUAAGAUACCGUGUGUAGGAGAGACAUAGAAAGAACAAUAAGGGAUGCUGUAUAGCCUGAUAUCACUAGAGCUAGCGAACAUAUGUACUCAGCUAGUUAGCUGCUAAGGGGAAAAAAAAUAAAAAUAAAAGGCUAGCUUGCAUGUGUCACGAGUAAACAUGGAGAUUUCAGUAGCAGAUUUAUUUAACAGCAUAGAAAAGAGUGUCAUGGCUAAGGUCUGACAUGUUAGCUAAAUUAGCACGCUAGCUAGCAUGCUUUAAGGUCAGGGAGUUUUGUUUUGUAAGGGAUAAGAGCGCCAGCGAGAGUCCACACCACCGAAUAAAUACAUACGUGUGUUGUUAUGAAUCCUUCAAUCAGGUUUUGAAACUGUUUUAAAUAAAGACAGUAAUAUGUUGUUUUAGUAACGCGUUACUUGUGUUGUAAGUCGCUAGUUAGCUAACCGGCUCUCUGCUAGUUACGCUAGUCAGCUUUCCUGUACGUUAUUUUUUUCUGGUCACAACUAUGGGCUUUAGUGAGGCACCAACCCUCCUGUGUUAUAAAUCAAAGAUUGGUCUGUCUUACAGUUUCUCUCUCCCUCUCUCUCUCACACACACACACACACACACACACAGAGAGAGAGAGAGAGAGUUUUGUGAGAGGCUGUUAAUGUUGCUCUCUGUGGUUUUCUGGUUGCUCUUUCGCCUUGCUGCGUGCCCUGAGGCCAGUUUUGAGCAGGCAGAGAUGAGCACAACGGGGGCGGCCAUCUUUAAUAUUUCAGUCUAAAGCUUAUAUAUACACACCCACUGAUUAGAUCUGCUUCUGCACUUUCUGUGACUGCUCUAUCUAAUCCUUGUUUCUCGCUCUCUCUCUCUCUGUCUGUGCGUAUGUGUGUGUGUGUGUGUGUGUGUGUGUGUGUGUGUGUACGUGCAUGUGUGUGCGAGCAAGCAAGCAAGCAUACAUGUUCAUACACGAGACCUUUUUACCCUCGCAGGUGAUGUGUAGAGCGCAGGGCCGCAUGCAUUAAAACGCGGUUUAAACCACAGAACACGUCAGAGCUGAGAUGUUUAGAGAAGACUUAAUGCCUGAUAACAAUAAGCAAAGUUAUAUGCGGGGGCAAAUAAGUGGAGGAAGGGAGGAAGGACGGAAGGGAGAAAGAAAAAAAGGAAGGAAGAGAAAGAAAGGACGGGGAAAAAAAGAAACAUGGAAGUUGAAGGAAAGAAAGGAGGAAGGAGAAGAAAAUGUAAGAAGGAAGAAUGAGGGCGAAAAACAGAAAGAAAGGAUGGAUGGGUGGAUGGAAGAGAAUGAAAGGAAGGAAGAGAAAGAAAGCAAGAAUAGAUGAAAGAGCAUGGAAGGAGGGACGGAAAGAAGGAAGGAAAGAGGAAUCAUGGGAUAUGAAGAAAGGAAGGAAGGAAGAGCGAUGGAAAGAGGGAAGAAUGGAAGUGAUAGAGAGAAAGAAGCUGAAUGGAGAGACGAGACUAAAAGAAAGGGGAAAUUCUAAGAGCUGAGACACUAUUUUUACCGAGACAUUUGUACUAAUUCCAUGUUCUCAUUUUUUUAAUUUCAUUUCUCUUUUAUUUAUUCGAAUUAUUUAAAUUAUAAAUACUUUUCUAGAAUAUUAGAUAAAUGAGUUGUUUUUUUUACUUAUUUACUAUAUUAUUUAUUUAUUUAUUUAUUUUCGCAGUGAAAGGAUUUGAGUAAAACAGCAGAUCAAGCAGCAGGUUUAAUAAUUGAAUACCUAUUACACAGAUCAGCGUCAUCCUUUAUUUAUUUAUUUAUUUAUAUAUUUUAAAUCCUUGUCCUCCCCUCUGUCUCUGACUCACCCCGCUGUUUCUGUCCAUAAUCCCUUCUCUAUUUUAUUAGCCCUUUUUAUUGCUCAGUACAGCAGGAUUUGACAAAUGCAAUGGGGGUUUUGGUGACAGGGUCGUGCUUGUCCUCGCACCCUUUCACCCCGGGCACCCAUCAGCGCCUGCUGACGGCUUCAUCAACACACUCACCCCCUCCUCCUUUUACCCAUCCUCCUCCUCCUUCUCCUCCUCCACCCUUCCCUCCUCCCCAUGUUCCCUCCUCCCUGUUUUUGAGCGUUUGUUCCUAGCAUCUGUUUCGCCUGGUGAUUAAUUGCAAUUAGCGAGAGGGUUGAAAGCCCGUGGAAGAAUGCAGCGGUGAGCAGACACAUCAAGAUUAAUGAGGGAAGGCAGUUGUCAGAAGGACGCACGCCUGCGAUGGCAGGGCACCUGGGGGGGAGGAGGAGGAGGAGGAAGGGAGGGUGCAUUUGUAUAGGGCAGAAGCAAGUGUGUGUGUGUGUGUGUGUGUGUGUGUUUGAAAUACCAUCCGCAUGUUUACUGCUUAUCAUAUCUCUAGGCUUUUUUUCCUCCCAGCGAGAGGCAGUGUGUCCCUGCAGGAGGAAGAACAGAGGAUAGACAGAAUGAGACAAGAAGAGUGAGAAGGGAGGGAAGAGGAGUCAAGGAAGGGAGGAGAGAAGAGGAGGGCAAACGCAACCCCGGGGGGCUGAUUAAAUAUGGAAAUUUUAAUUGCUAAUUGACCUUUAUUAAUCAGAGCACAGAAGUGUAUCUUUUGUACUUACUGUGGCUGAGAUGUGAGUUUAUCAGAGAGAGAGAGAGAGAAAGAGAGAGAGAGAGAGAGAAAGUAAGCAUGUGCGUGCUACUGGAGUUAGGGGUCCUAGCCUGUUAAUUUUUUCUGCUUACAAAUUAAAGAUGUGUCUCAAGUAUGAACAUGGUAGAGGUAAUAAGCUAUAAGGUAUACUAUAUUUUAUACUGUAAUCUAUAGGUGUACUAUACUACACUAAGCUAUUAGGUAUACUAUAUUUUAUACUAUAAUGUAUAGGCGUAUGAUACUAUACUAAGCUAUAAGGUAUAUUUGAUACUAUAAUGUAUAGGCGUAUGAUACUAUACUAAGCUAUAAGGUAUAUUUGAUACUAUAAUGUAUAGGCGUAUGAUACUAUACUAAGCUAUAAGGUAUAUUUUAUACUAUAAUGUAUAGGCGUAUGAUACUAUACUAAGCUAUAAGGUAUAUUUGAUACUAUAAUGUAUAGGCGUAUGAUACUAUACUAAGCUAUAAGGUAUACUAUAUUGUAUACUAUAUUGUAUAGGUGUACAAUACUAAACUAUAAGAUACCCACUUUCAGAUUCAAUUAUGCCACAUUCUGUCCUAAAAAUAGCUUUAAAUGUUUAUGCACUGUGUAUUUACUAAACUUGGGACAAUUAGCAGCGACCAGGUGUCAGGUCAACCAAAAGAGCAAAUACAGCGCAAUUACACACUUAUUAUAUGAUGUAGCCUAUUUUGUAAUAAAUAGCCGUUCAAUUAGGGCUGAAUCAAUCGGUUGAGCUCUUUUUAAAGCACCUACUACAGUGCUUUAGGUGCUUUUGGCCCCAGAUGAAAGUUGUUGUUUUUUACACUUGGAAUUUUUUAAUCCUUUAUUACAGUUUGCAAACUAUUAGCAACGAUUAAAUAAGCUAAAAUAUAUGCGGGUAGACGUUUACUAAAAUUUGUAACCUCUUCAGGAGGCUGACGCUAACGUACACUGAGUCAACGUGAGAGUCGUUUAAGAAGUUAUCGAACGUCAAUAAUCGAAUUAUCAAAUAAAAUAUCAAGUAUUAAACCAGGAUGUCUGUGGAUCUCUACUGAUCCCGAGUAACAAUCUCUCCUACAUUCCUCCAUUUUAUUCCGCAUCCGCCAAGC